rnacentral:rRNA from 1 species
GACGAACGCUGGCGGCGUGCUUAACACAUGCAAGUCGAACGGAAAGGCCCUGCUUUUUUGGUGUGCUCGAGUGGCGAACGGGUGAGUAACACGUGAGUAACCUGCCCUUGACUUUGGGAUAACUUCAGGAAACUGGGGCGAAUACCGGAUCUGAGCUCCCGCUGCAUGGUGUGGGUUGGAAAGUUUCGGCGGUUGGGGAUGGACUGGCGGGUUAUCAGCUGGUUGGUGGGGUAGUGGCUUACCAAGGCUUGGACGGGUAGCCGGCCUGAGAGGGUGACCGGCGACACUGGGACUGAGAGACGGCCCAGACUCGUAAGGGAGGCAGCAGGGGGGAAGAUUGCACAAUGAGCGGAAGCCUGAUGCAGAAACGCCGCGUGCGGGAUGACGGCCUUCGGGUUGUAAACCGCUUUCGCCUGUGACGGAGCGUGAGUGACAGUAAUGGGUAAAGAAGCACCGGCUAACUACGUG